rnacentral:rRNA from 1 species
UACGUAGGUGGCAAGCGUUGUCCGGAUUUACUGGGCGUAAAGAGCGCGCAGGCGGUCGUUCAAGUCGCGUGUGAAAGCCCCCGGCUCAACUGGGGAGGGUCACGCGAUACUGAUCGACUCGAAGGCAGGAGAGGGAAGUGGAAUUCCCGGUGUAGUGGUGAAAUGCGUAGAUAUCGGGAGGAACACCAGUGGCGAAGGCGGCUAUCUGGACGGUUUCUGACGCUAAGACGCGAAAGCGUGGGGAGCAAACAGG